CUACGGGAGGCAGCAGUAGGGAAUUUUGGACAAUGGGGGCAACCCUGAUCCAGCCAUGCCGCGUGAGUGAAGAAGGCCUUCGGGUUGUAAAGCUCUUUUGGCGGGAACGAAAUCGCUCUUCCUAACACGGGGGGCGGAUGACGGUACUCGCAGAAUAAGCACCGGCUAAUUACGUGCCAGCAGCCGCGGUAAUACGUAGGGUGCGAGCGUUAAUCGGAAUUACUGGGCGUAAAGCGUGCGCAGGCGGCUCUUUAAGUCAGAUGUGAAAGCCCCGGGCUUAACCUGGGAACUGCGUUUGAAACUGGAGAGCUGGAGUGUGGCAGAGGAAGGUGGAAUUACUGGUGUAGCAGUGAAAUGCGUAGAGAUCAGGAGGAACACCGAUGGCGAAGGCAGCCUUCUGGGCCAACACUGACGCUCAUGCACGAAAGCGUGGGGAGCAAACAGGAUUAGAUACCCCGGUAGC
rnacentral:rRNA from 1 species